GCCCGGGUGGCGAAAUUGGUAGACGCACCAGAUUUAGGUUCUGGCGCCGCAAGGCGUGGGGGUUCGAGUCCCCCCUCGGGCACCA
rnacentral:tRNA from 1 species